UCCCCGGUAGCUUAGAUGGUUAAGAAUCUGCCUGCAAUGCAGGAAACCCAGGUUUAACCCCUGGGUUGGGAA
rnacentral:tRNA from 1 species